CGCAGGUUCGCAAUCCGAACCUGCGGACGAGGGCGCAGUACCCGCAGAGCGACAAGACUGACCAAG
rnacentral:ncRNA from 1 species